AGUGAACGCCGGCGGUAGGCCUAACACAUGCAAGUCGAACGGCAGCACAGUAAGAGCUUGCUCUUACGGGUGGCGAGUGGCGGACGGGUGAGGAAUACAUCGGAAUCUACUUUUUCGUGGGGGAUAACGUAGGGAAACUUACGCUAAUACCGCAUACGACCUACGGGUGAAAGCAGGGGAUCUUCGGACCUUGCGCGAUUGAAUGAGCCGAUGUCGGAUUAGCUAGUUGGCGGGGUAAAGGCCCACCAAGGCGACGAUCCGUAGCUGGUCUGAGAGGAUGAUCAGCCACACUGGAACUGGGACACGGUCCAGACUCCUACGGGAGGCCGCAGUGGGGAAUAUUGGACAAAGGGCGCAAGCCUGAUCCAGCCAUACCGCGUGGGUGAAGAAGGCCUUCGGGUUGUAAAGCCCUUUUGUUGGGAAAGAAAAGCAGCAGGUUAAUACCCCGCUGUUCUGACGGUACCCAAAGAAUAAGCACCGGCUAACUUCGUG
rnacentral:rRNA from 1 species